GGGUGUGAGGGUGAUCUGACUGCCACAUCUGUCAUCCCAUGGAUCACCAGCAUCAAUUCAGCUGAUCUGGUCGGCUGGGCAGGGGUCCCUUUCCUCCCUCAGCGCUCCAUGUGUGCCACUCCCGAAGUUGUGCGCUAGGUCGAAGAGGACGACCACCCCCAAUAGAGGAGGACCGUUCUUUGGUCCAGGGUAUCGGAGUGGCUGCGCUCCCCUGCUAGAACCUCCAACAAAGGUCUCAAGGUCCAUAUUUCUGAGGAAUGAGGACACAAACUGCCAACAACUUUAUCUUAAAGGAAUUUUUUUUUUU
rnacentral:snRNA from 1 species